CCUAUGGGGGGCUGCAGUGGGGAAUAUUGGACAAUGGGCGAAAGCCUGAUCCAGCCAUGCCGCGUGUGUGAAGAAGGCCUUCGGGUUGUAAAGCACUUUCAGUGGGGAAGAAAGCCUUGGGGCUAAUACCCUCGAGGAAGGACAUCACCCACAGAAGAAGCACCGGCUAACUCCGUGCCAGCAGCCGCGGUAAUACGGAGGGUGCGAGCGUUAAUCGGAAUUACUGGGCGUAAAGCGCGCGUAGGCGGUCUGAUAAGCCGGUUGUGAAAGCCCCGGGCUCAACCUGGGAACGGCAUCCGGAACUGUCAGGCUAGAGUGCAGGAGAGGAAGGUAGAAUUCCCGGUGUAGCGGUGAAAUGCGUAGAGAUCGGGAGGAAUACCAGUGGCGAAGGCGGCCUUCUGGACUGACACUGACGCUGAGGUGCGAAAGCGUGGGUAGCAAACAGGAUUAGAUACCCCAGUAGUC
rnacentral:rRNA from 1 species